UAGUUAGGGACAGGUAAAAGCACUCAUCUGCCUAUGCCUCAGCUCGUCCAUCAAAGAAGGUUGCAGCACAGACUUCAUCUGAGGAACCCAACUCUUCAUCAGCACUCAGUCAAUUUUUAAAAGUGUCGUAUCCCUGAUGAGGGAUUCUCUGGGAAGAUUUCCUUGAAGGGGUACCCGACAGUGAUAAAUGAGGGCCACAUCCAUUGGAACAUUCACACUGGUCCCAUAAGCACGUAGGACAGAGUGGACGGAAGUCUGAAUCACCCUUCUUGGAUCAAUUAUCAUUUUCUUGGGAUU